GGGGUGGUGGCGCAGUUGGCUAGCGCGUAGGUCUCAUACUAUACCGUGAGUCAUCCUGAGCUCGAGAGUUCGAGCCUCUCUCACCCCA
rnacentral:tRNA from 1 species